AUUGAAUAAAUAUAUGUCAGCCCGA
rnacentral:rasiRNA from 1 species